GAUGAACGCUAGCGGCAGGCUUAAUACAUGCAAGUCGAGGGGCAGCACGGGUAGCAAUACCUGGUGGCGACCGGCAAACGGGUGCGGAACACGUACGCAACCUUCCUUUAAGCGGGGAAUAGCCCAGAGAAAUUUGGAUUAAUACCCCAUAAUAUAAUAGAGAAGCAUUUCUUUAUUAUUAAAGAUUUAUCACUUAGAGAUGGGCGUGCGGCUGAUUAGGUAGUUGGCGGAGAACAG
rnacentral:rRNA from 1 species